CGNGAAGGAUCAUUAUUGUAUAACACGAGACAUUGAGGCUGUCGCUGACGAAAGUCGUGCACGCCUUGGUGUUCUUACAUCCAUUUCACCCUUGUGCAUCAUCGCGUGGGCCGUUCCCAUUGGGAAUGGUCUACGUUUUUAAUACAAACCCCUAUUGAUGUGUAGAAUGUGUACUUUGCGAUAACAACGCAACUAAUACAACUUUCAACAACGGAUCUCUUGGCUCUCGCAUCGAUGAAGAACGCAGCGAAAUGCGAUACGUAAUGUGAAUUGCAGAAUUCAGUGAAUCAUCGAAUCUUUGAACGCACCUUGCGCCUCUUGGUAUUCCGAGGGGCACGCCCGUUUGAGUGUCGUGAAAUUCUCAACCCUCUUGGUUUUCUUUUGAAGGCUAAGAGGGCUUGGACUUGGAGGUUCUUGCUGGCAGCACUUUGCGAUCAGCUCCUCUUAAAUGCAUUAGCGAGGUUCUCUUUGCUGACCUUUGGCGUGAUAAGUAUCUACGUCUUUGGUGUGGCUCUGCUGUUAGA
rnacentral:rRNA from 1 species